GUUUGAUCCUGGCUCAGGACGAACGCUGGCGGCAGGCUUAACACAUGCAAGUCGAACGCUCUCUUCGGAGAGAGUGGCAGACGGGUGAGUAACGCGUGGGAAUCUACCCAGUACUACGGAACAACAGUUAGAAAUGACUGCUAAUACCGUAUACGCCCUCCGGGGGAAAGAUUUAUCGGUAUUGGAUGAGCCCGCGUUUGAUUAGCUAGUUGGUGAGGUAAUGGCUCACCAAGGCGACGAUCAAUAGCUGGUCUGAGAGGAUGAUCAGCCACACUGGGACUGAGACACGGCCCAGACUCCUACGGGAGGCAGCAGUGGGGAAUAUUGGACAAUGGGCGAAAGCCUGAUCCAGCCAUGCCGCGUGUGUGAUGAAGGCCCUAGGGUUGUAAAGCACUUUCAACGGUGAAGAUAAUGACGGUAACCGUAGAAGAAGCUCCGGCUAACUUCGUGCCAGCAGCCGCGGUAAUAAGG
rnacentral:rRNA from 1 species